rnacentral:lncRNA from 1 species
GAAAAAAAAAUUAAACCAUUAUCUUUAAUAUAAUUUAUUAUAAAUAUAAUUUUGACACAUAAAAAAAUAAUAAUUUGUCAUAAAUUCUUUAAUUUGACUCGUUGAAUAUAAGUUCUGGCAAUUUUGACCCUGUUGAACAUAAGUUCUGCCAACUUUAACCCACAAAAAAAUAAUAAUUUGUCUUAAAUUUUACAAUUUUAACUAUGCUAGAGAUAAGUUUUGGCAAUUUUUACCCCACUGAACUUGAGUUCUGACUCAUCCCCCAAUUUUCUAUGAAUAUAGUGGUUUCCGAAAAGAGUAUGGAUGGUAGGGGUAUAGUGAAAAAUAGAAAAGAAGUGUAGAGAGUAUAUUGAUAUUUUUGUUCGACUUUAAAUUUUUAUGACAUGAAUUAAAUGGUGAUAGAAAAUUAAUCAAAUAAACCUUAAGUGAACUCAUUUUCAUUCAUAUUGACCAGCAAUCAUAUAAAAACUUGGAACUAAACAUGUGAAUUUAUAAUUCAAUUACAUGUAUACAAAGAAUGUGGGUGGUUGUAGUUAGGCUCCAUUCAAAGUUGACAUAAAAUUGCUUUGAAUCAUUCAUCAUCAUGGCCAGAUAAAGAAAUUGAGAUUUCUUUUGUACUACUUUUGGAAAGCCUCAAAUAUAAUCCAUAGGUUGUGCAUAGGCCACUAUGAAUGGUCUACAUUUAAAUAUAUGCUAAUGGGAGCCAUUGAAAAGCAGAAUUUGGAGUGUGAAUUUUCCUCUCGUAAUGACUAACUUUCCUAUUAAUGUCAUGAGAGUAACCACUUAGUGGAAAAUUUGUUUGGUCAGACGAAAGAAACGAAUCUUUGUUUGGUGAUGAGUUCGAAUUUUAAAAGUGGAUGAAUGGUAACCCAAACCUUAAGAUUCUAUUUGGAUCAAUGAUUUGGUAUGAAAAAGGAAAAAGGAAAAAGGAAAAAGAAAUGAAAAAUAUAUGGGAUUCAAUGAUCCCGAAUAGUUCAAUCGUUUAACUUUCUUAUUUAUUUAUUUUUUUUCGCACUAAAUCCUUAAUCUAAAUACAACCUAAAAAUUACGCCCGAUUAUUACUUGGUCAAUGUGAGACGUAGGGAUUGUAUUUAGGACUUGGCUUCUCUGAAGUCCAUGCACCGGUGCAGUUCAAGCUUUUUAGGUCUCGCUGUUUUGGUUCAUUUUGAUGAUCAAAACCAUUUAUAUGGUAGAAUCUAUCAUAAAAAUCAAUACUGUAAAAAUUCGCGUUGAUCGAACACAAUUCAAUAUCCGUUCAGUAUUAUUUUAUACUUUAAUAAAUUAGUAUAACACACAUGAUUAUACUCAUAUAUCUUGAUAUAAAUUGAUAUUUAUCGAUUAUUGAUCUGUAUUUGAUUAGCAUGUUUUUUACAUAUAUGAACGAUUUAGAUCAUUAAAAUAAGCCCAAAAUACUUAAAAGUAUGAACUUUAGAGAAGCUAGGUACUUAUCUUUACUCGGGUACUAGUCGAAGCGAAUCUUAAGACACCCUCGUAAAAAAAAAGAGAGAAAAAUAAUCUGAAUUUUUAAUUAGAUCAAUUAAAAGUACUUAGGUUUAAGGCUCCACUUGACAACCCACUUCAAGUUCGACUUUUCAAACUUUCGGGCUUACAAGCGUAAAAAGAGCUUAGUCUGUUUAUGUAUCUAAAUAACACUGAAUUAGAAUUCCUCAUUUACGUAGUGGUAUCGUAUCAUUGGUUAAAACACAUCCUAGAGGUGAAGAUCAAUAGAUAUGGGUGGGUGGAAGAUUUAUUCAAGAUAAACACUACGAUUUCGAAUUUGAAUUUUAAAAAGUUUAUAAAAUUUAAAAUAAAUAAUUUAAAUUAAAUUUAGUGUAGGAUGCCACAUAACAUAAUCAAGUGAAUCUGAACCAUUUAUAUUAUAAAAUAUAACUAAUUUUGAAUUUCAAAACUUUCUUUCACUAUCUACGGUUGGAAUAUAUUUGAAUUAAUCCAACGACUCAGAUUUCACCUUAGAUUAUUUUUUUUCUAAAAAAAUAUUACGUCUUUCUUCUCAAAGUGGGGUGGAACUCACAUGAUUGUGUUAUCCAAUGAACAAAAAAUCUCUAAUCGGACAUAUUGUUAUCUCAUUGGUUAUUUUUUAAUGGGACCACCAAAAAAAAACUAAAAUACCUAUUUCUUUCUCCCUCAUUUCUCUCAAACUAGCAAUUUUUUUAAAAAAAUUAUUGUAGUUUCUAAUUUGUUUUCUAUUUUGCGGCAAUGUAUCUCUUCGUAUAAGCAUGUAAUGUAUAUUUUAUCUGACAUUUAUAUCUUAUCUGUUUUUUAGAUUAUAAAAUUCUAAUGAAUACGCCUAAAAUGUAUUCUUUUUUAUGUAGGGCACAAGCAAUUACUAGUUUACUUUAAAUUUAAAAAAAAAAUAGAUCUAAAUUAUGGGAUCAUAGCAGUCGCUCUUUAUUCCAAGGCAAUAAACCACUAAAAGCCCAGAAACCAAAGGCCCAUAGGCCCAAUAUUUAAAAGAAGUCCAUCAGACUUAAAUGGGUUCGGGCUUAAGGGAAGUGAACAGAAACGAGCCUAGAGUUUAAAUCCAUGGGUCGAUCCGCAAUUCUUGUGGAUUCGGGCGGAGCCAAUUAAGGCCAGGAGGAGCACAAACCCCUCAAUUUUUGUGUAAUAGCACUUGUAUCCUUAGAAUAAAUGAAAUAUCUCAAUUUGCCCUUUAUGUAUAACAAUGAUGUCCAUCUUAAAUUAUUUAACAAAUGUUACUUUUUUUUUUUUACCUUUUCUCCUACUUAUUAACGUAAGAGAAAAUUAAAUAACAUUGAAAGAGAGAAAAGUAAUAUCACUUUAUGGAGUUAAUAAUAAGAUUAUCAUGCAAAAAUUUCCGACGACAAAAAUUCAAUGGAGUCAAUUGCAAAAACAUAUAUUAAAAAUUCUAGGGAAGAAUAUGUAAUUACUUGUCUCUUAUAUUGCAAACUUUUAUAAAAGUAUAUACUAUGUAUCAAUAUAAACUUUCGUGCUUAGUAGUGAAUGUUUAAACUUGAAACGCCAUUGAUGUGAAUUUGAGAGAAACAUUUUCAAGAUCAUAAUUAAUAUGUGUCCAAAAUAUUUUUAAAAUUAUCAUUAAUAGGUGUCUUUCCUAUACUAAAAUCCUGACUCCGCCACUAUUUCCUAAUGAAAAUCCAAUAGACUUAAUUGAGUUUGGGCUAAAAAAAUGAACAUAAACGGGUCUAGAGUUUAAAUCCAUGGGUCGAUCCGCAAUACCUGUGGGUUCCUAGUGGCAGCCCAUUUUUAAAAAAUUAACCUUAAAUUUUUUUUUAUAUAUUCAUUCCAAAUAAACUUACACCAAACAUACUCAAAAAAAUCGAGAACUUUUAGCAAAAAAAAAUCAAAAAAUCUUAUACCAAACGGUGCCUAAGUUUGUAUUUUUCAUAUACUAUGAAUUAUUGUGUAAUAUAUUAUUGCAAUAUAAUCUUGUGCAAAAAUAUUGUGAAAAGUUCAUAUUAAAAAAUAUCAAAACUAUUUAACAAGGUUAGUCAAUAUGUUAAAUGACUAAUAAUUACCCGUACCCACAGACACUACGCAAAAAAAAAUAUUAGGUGUACUCGUCAGAAUUUUACAACUUAAAAACAAAUAAGAUAUAAACGUCAGAUAAGAUAUACAUUGCAUGCGUAUACGAAGAGAUACGUUGCUAUGAAAUGAAGAACAAAUUAAAAAAUAUAAUAAUUUUUAAAAAGUAUUGCUACUUUGAGAAACUGAGGAGGAACUAAAUGAUGUUUUUAAUUUUUUUUUGAUGUGAGUCCACCUAAAAAAAUGAUCAAAUGAAUAUAAAAUAUGUCAAUUUUUAAAGAAUUUUUUUGUUCUUGGGAUUCACAACCUAUGUGAACCCCAUAUUUUUGAGAAAAAAUGAAGUGAUAUUUUUUUGGGAAAAAAAAUAAUUUCAGGUGAAAUUUCAGCCAUUGAAUUAAUUCAAAUAGAUUCCAACCGUAGUAGAAGAUGUUUUGAACCAUUGACAAUAAAUUAUGUUUUAUAUUAGAACAUGGGUCAACUUGUUUUUAUUUUUAUUUUUAUUUCAAAUUAUGUUUGUAUCAUUUAAACGGUGGCUAAAACUUUUUAAAAUGUUAGAUACUACUUUAGAAAUAAAAUAAAAAUAAAAACCCAAAACCAUCCCACAUCAUCCACGGAUUGAGGAAAGAUGCUUAGCACACAGUGUCACAGACAUUCUAUUGGAAAAUCUGGUUAUUCAAUACCGGGUGCCUCUACUGGCACCUCUGUUUUUCUCAGUACCCAACCUUCUCGUGAACUCCCUUCAAAUAUUUAGAGAUCCUUACAUUUACUUGGUACACCUCCCUUAGCUUGAAAACUACCCAUCUUAGGGCCCGUUUGGCUGGAGGAUUUGGAGGGGGGAUAAUUUUUCCCACGGAUACUUUUCCCCCGGGGCGUUUGGCUAGCGGAUAAUUUAUGCCCCUCGGAUAAUUAUACCCCCGGAGAUGGAAAUUUUUGGGUGGUCUAGGACCCAUAAAUAAAAGUUUCCGGGGGAUAGGGGUGGGGGAUAAGAAAAAAAAUAUAUAAAGAGAAACAAAAUGUAUAAUUGCUAUCGUAUCUAAUCUAUAAUAAUCUAUAUAUAUAGAAAUAAAAAAAUAUUUUAAUAUAUAAAUAGUUGUAUAUUGUGUUUCGCUAUAUAUAUUUUAUUCUUAUCUUUCACCUUAUCCACCCAUUCUAAAAAAGUAUCCAAACAAAGUUAAAAAUUAUCCCUCCAAAAGUUAUCCCUCUAAAAUUUUCCUCCCUAUAAAAGUUAUCACCCUCUCAUAUCCUACAGCCCAAACGGUGCCUUUUAAAUCUCUAGUGGUGGGGAAAGGGCUGAGAAUGGGGGUGGGGGGAGAGUUUUAGGGUGAGAGGACUAUGUACGGAAGGUGGCUGAGCGGAGAGAGAAGUAGCCGAUGGAGUAGAGAAGGGUGAGGGGAGGUAUAAAGAUGGCAGAAGAGGUGGAGGGCCGAGGUUGCCAGUGGUGAUCGACCGGUUUGAAACUUGGAGAGUGAAUUGUGGUG